CCGAGCGGCCAAAGGGAGCAGACUGUAAAUCUGCCGUCAUCGACUUCGAAGGUUCGAAUCCUUCCCCCACCACCA
rnacentral:tRNA from 3 species